CUGUCUUGAAAAAAAAAAUUUUUUUGCACUAAGAUGCCAAAGAAAAGGCUCCCAUGCUUCCUGUCUGUCUCUGUGACAGUCCAGAUUGAAUUGGAGAGUACAUGU